GACGAACGCUGGCGGCGUGCUUAACACAUGCAAGUCGAACGGAAAGGCCCUGCUUUUGUGGGGUGCUCGAGUGGCGAACGGGUGAGUAACACGUGAGUAACCUGCCCUUGACUUUGGGAUAACUUCAGGAAACUGGGGCUAAUACCGGAUAGGAGCUCCUGCUGCAUGGUGGGGGUUGGAAAGUUUCGGCGGUUGGGGAUGGACUCGCGGCUUAUCAGCUUGUUGGUGGGGUAGUGGCUUACCAAGGCUUUGACGGGUAGCCGGCCUGAGAGGGUGACCGGCCACAAUGGGACUGAGAUACGGCCCAGAGUCCUACGGGAGGCAGCAGUGGGGAAUAGUGCACAAUGGGCGGAAGCCUGAUGCAGAAACGCCGCGUGCGGGAUGACGGCCUUCGGGUUGUAAAACGAUUUAGCAUGUGACGAAGCGUGAGUGACGGUAAUGGGUAAAGAAGCACCGGCUAACUACGUG
rnacentral:rRNA from 1 species